rnacentral:rRNA from 1 species
AACGAACGCUGGCGGCAGGCCUAACACAUGCAAGUCGAACGGGAUCUUCGGGUCUAGUGGCGGACGGGUGAGUAACGCGUGGGAACGUGCCCUUUGGUUCGGAAUAACCCGGGGAAACUGGGAGUAAUACCGGAUAAGCCCUACGGGGGAAAGAUUUAUCGCCAAAGGAUCGGCCCGCGUUGGAUUAGGUAGUUGGUGAAGUAAUGGCUCACCAAGCCGACGAUCCAUAGCUGGUUUGAGAGGAUGAUCAGCCACACUGGGACUGAGACACGGCCCAGACUCCUACGGGAGGCAGCAGUGGGGAAUCUUAGACAAUGGGGGAAACCCUGAUCUAGCCAUGCCGCGUGAUCGAUGAAGGCCUUAGGGUUGUAAAGAUCUUUCAGUGGGGAAGAUAAUGACUGUACCCACAGAAGAAGCCCCGGCUAACUCCGUGCCAGCAGCCGCCGUAA